GUCCUCCAGUUCCCUUUCCCAUCAGAUCUGAACACUGGUCUACGUGGUCAUAAAAGAAGGAAAAGUAAUACGGAAGCUGGCCUCGCAGUGUUGUAGUUUGUUAUAUAGAAUGUGGGCUAGUUUCACACAAGG
rnacentral:snoRNA from 1 species